GCUCUCGCCAUGCACCUCGCCUGUCUCAUCCUCACCGUCUUCCUGGGACAGCUCCUGGGCACCACGGGACAGGUCACAGUCACCCAGGAAAAUGGACCAGUCAUGGUAAAGCAGGGACACACCUUCCAGACCACCUGCAAAUACCAGAGCAAUAAUUUUGGGGGAUUGUUCUGGUACCAGCAGCAGAAAGGCCAAGGCCCACAGCUGGUCUCCUAUCAAGCAGGGCCUGGCUCCAAGCGCAAUGGCCGUAUCACCACGCACCUGAACACCACGGGGAAAUCCAGUGUCCUGCGGGUGGAGGAAGUGCAGGGCUCUGACACUGCCUUGUACCUCUGUGCUGUGCAAGACACCCUGCUGCAGGGAGCUUCCUCAGCUGUCCGGGCACAGCUGCUCUCAGCAGUGCUGCAGCGGGCAAAAGGAGGAGCUCGGCCUUGUGGGCACGGAGAGAAGCUCGGCAACGCUGCUGCCCGUGUGCUGCCAGCGGCGGAGUGCAUCUGCUUCCCAUGCGGUGUCGGUGGUGUGCGGGAUGGGACACGGCUGUCUCUUGGCUCUGGCGAUGCCGAAAUUGUUGUGUCGCUGAUUGAGCUGGUGCUGUGA